GGGGGGGGGACUCCGUGACUCCAAAGUCGAUAGAUCUGCCGCAUUGCUCAAGCUGCCAUUGAUUCUGACAAGACAAUACAUUGAGAAACACAAAAGUUGUGUCCAGAUUAAGACAGAUGUAAAGAAAGAGUUGAAAGAUGUGUUCUGAAGUAAGACAGCCGUACCCCUGCUUUCCAAGGAACCAAACAAUUACUUUCCUUGUAUUGGCAUGGUGAAAAAUGGGGAGUGUCCAGAAAAUGACAAAGACCUUCAGAAUGUCAUCAGUGAUAUUGUUGCAAUUGAAUG